rnacentral:rRNA from 1 species
GAUGAACGCUGGCGGCGUGCCUAAUACAUGCAAGUCGAGCGAACAGAUGAGGAGCUUGCUCCUCUGACGUUAGCGGCGGACGGGUGAGUAACACGUGGAUAACCUACCUAUAAGACUGGGAUAACUUCGGGAAACCGGAGCUAAUACCGUAUAAUAUAUUGAACCGCAUGGUUCAAUAGUGAAAGACGGUUUUGCUGUCACUUAUAGAUGGAUCCGCGCCGCAUUAGCUAGUUGGUAAGGUAACGGCUUACCAAGGCAACGAUGCGUAGCCGACCUGAGAGGGUGAUCGGCCACACUGGAACUGAGACACGGUCCAGACUCCUACGGGAGGCAGCAGUAGGGAAUCUUCCGCAAUGGGCGAAAGCCUGACGGAGCAACGCCGCGUGAGUGAUGAAGGUCUUCGGAUCGUAAAACUCUGUUAUUAGGGAAGAACAAAUGUGUAAGUAACUAUGCACGUCUUGACGGUACCUAAUCAGAAAGCCACGGCUAACUACGUG